rnacentral:rRNA from 1 species
ACUGCUCAGUACACGUGGAUACCUGCCUGCGGUGGGAAAUAACCCCGGGAAACUGGGGAUAAUGUCCCAUAGGCUACGGAUGCUGGAAUGCUCUGUAGCUCAAAGAUUUAUCGCCACAGGAUGGGUCUGCGGCCGAUUAGGUAGUUGUUGGGGUAACGGCCCAACAAGCCUUUGAUCGGUACGGGUUGUGGGAGCAAGAGCCCGGAGAUGGAUUCUGAGACACGAAUCCAGGCCCUACGGGGCGCAGCAGGCGCGAAAACUUUACAAUGCGGGAAACCGUGAUAAGGGAACUCCGAGUGUCCGUCAAUGCGGACUGUCCGUAUGUUUAAAAAGCAUGCGAAGAAAGGGCCGGGCAAGACCGGUGCCAGCCGCCGCGGUAAUACCGGCGGCUCGAGUGGUGGCCACUAUUACUGGGCUUAAAGCGUUCGUAGCUGGGUUGUUAAGUCUCUGGCUGUCGAGAUGCCUAAAAAGCAUUUCAUAGCAAGGGCCGGGCAAGACCGGUGCCAGCCGCCGCGGUAACACCGGCGGCUCGAGUGGUAACCGUUAUUAUUGGGUCUAAAGGGUCUGUAGCCGGCCGGAUAAGUCUCUUGAGAAAUCUGGCAGCUUAACUGUCAGGCUUUCAGGAGAUACUGUCUGGCUCGAGGCCGGGAGAGGUGAGAGGUACUUCAGGGGUAGGGGUGAAAUCUUGUAAUCCUUGAAGGACCACCAGUGGCGAAGGCGUCUCACCAGAACGGACCUGACGGCAAGGGACGAAAGCUAGGGGCACGAACCGGAUUAGAUACCCGGGUAGUCCUAGCCGUAAACGAUACUCGCUAGGUGUCGGCCACGGUGCGACCGUUGUCGGUGCCGUAGGGAAGCCGUGAAGCGAGCCACCUGGGAAGUACGGCCGCAAGGCUGAAACUUAAAGGAAUUGGCGGGGGAGCAC